GGAAACAUAGUUCAGUUGGUUAGAGCAUCCACCUCAUAAGUGGACAGUCACAGGUUCGAGUCCUGUUGUUUCCA
rnacentral:tRNA from 1 species